UGAGAGGUGGGAAGUUGGAGCAAGGGCAUCUUGUUUGGUCAUGGAAAAGUUCCAGAAAUGACAGCUUUCUUCCUGCAUGUUAUCAGAUGCUUAUUUCUGAAGAAUGAAUGAGGGUGUAUUUCCUGUGUGCCUUGUAGGGGUUUCUGUUUCAUCUUCCUUCUCAUUGACUGGAAUAUUAGACUAUGACCUCCUGUUCUUGCCUUUUUAGCACAUCCCGCAUUUUCUCAGAUGUUCUCUUUUUGCCCUUUCGUGAUGACCUGCCUAAGACUUGCAUACAGUUUGGAAUGGAAUGCCUGGGCUCAAAGGCUACAGCCCACAGGUCAGCAUCUGACAUUUUCAUGCACACCGUGUACAGCUCCCUGUGUGGUGGAAUGUGUCAUGUCAGAACAUGAAGAUCUGUGACAAGGCCUGGCAAUGGCUUUGACAGAGAAACUUCUCAGAAAAACUUGCCUGUCUUUUUCUAAUGAGGAAAUCCCAAAAAGAGAAGCUGAAACUUUCCUGUUGUAGAAGGGUAAUAAGUAAGCUGUGGAGAAAAUUGGACAAAUGCAGAAAUCUAUAUAAAGCAAGUGUGACUUUUUCCCGGGAGAAGAUCUUGCCAGAAAACAUGGUGGUCGUAUCAUAUCUGAUUGACUGGUGCAAAACAUGGACUAGGUUUAGUUUUCUGCACUGAACUGAAGACUGUCUUAUGCCUCCAAAAUGCACUGCAGAGUGUCUGCCAACAAUUGUUCACUAGCUGUGAAUGUUUGUUCCUUUUCAAUGCUUCAUCUAAUUCCAGGUGCCAGUGACUUUGCUACCACUCUAAAUGUGGUUAAAAAGAACAACUUUCAAAUUGAUUGUAAGUGGAAAUAAUAGGUCUUUAUAAUUUGUCUAUAAUAUAAAGGACUCUAGAUAAAACCGUUAAAUCUCUCCCAUGACUUACGUAUAAAGUGCUGCUUUCAUUUCACAAGGAAAUUAUUGAUUUCAAUUAGUUCUCUUUAUACUAGAAAUCAUCUGGUAUUAAUUUAAAAAUUUUUGAGAUGUCUGUGGAAUAAGCAAAUGAGACAACAAAAAGCUAUGUUUUAAAAAAUAAAACUUUCUGAUAUAUACAAAAUUAAUAUUCUUUUGGGGAAAAUUCAAAAUAUAGAAAAUUAUUGCUUAAGUCCCUGCAAAAUUCUAUCACCCAGAGAUAAACAUAGUUAACAUUUCUUUUUGUGAGCAUUCUCUAGAGAUAAUGCUUUUUUUCAUAUUCUUGGGCAAGUUAUUCAGUCUUUCACUGUGUAAGCAUAUUUUUCCUCUUCUAUAAAAUGGGAAUAAAAAUGAUACUUGUCACCUAGGGUUGGAGAUUUAAUGAGUUAAUAUGUAUAAAAUGUGUAACUUAGUACCUGAAAAUAGUUAAUAAAGAUUUACUGACAAGGCAUGGUGGCUCAUACCUGUAAUCCCAACCAACAUAUUGG
rnacentral:lncRNA from 10 species